rnacentral:rRNA from 1 species
GUGGGGAAUAUUGGACAAUGGGGGGAACCCUGAUCCAGCCAUGCCGCGUGUGUGAAGAAGGCCUUUUGGUUGUAAAGCACUUUAAGCGAGGAGGAGGCUACCGAGAUUAAUACUCUUGGAUAGUGGACGUUACUCGCAGAAUAAGCACCGGCUAACUCUGUGCCAGCAGCCGCGGUAAUACAGAGGGUGCAAGCGUUAAUCGGUUUUACUGGGCGUAAAGCGCGCGUAGGUGGCCAAUUAAGUCAAAUGUGAAAUCCACGAGCUUAACUUGGGAAUUGCAUUCGAUACUGGUUGGCUAGAGUAUGGGAGAGGAUGGUAGAAUUCCAGGUGUAGCGGUGAAAUGCGUAGAGAUCUGGAGGAAUACCGAUGGCGAAGGCAGCCAUCUGGCCUAAUACUGACACUGAGGUGCGAAAGCAUGGGGAGCAAACAGGAUUAGAAACCCUGGUAGUCC